UUGGAGGGCAAGUCUGGUGCCAGCAGCCGCGGUAAUUCCAGCUCCAAUAGCGUAUAUUAAAGUUGUUGCAGUUAAAAAGCUCGUAGUUGAAUUUCGGGAUCAGAGUGUCGGUCGUGCCUCGGUACGAACUGGUAUUAUUGGUUCCUACCUUCUGAAGAACCGCGAUGUCAUUAAUUUGGUGUCGUGGGGAAUCAGGACUGUUACUUUGAAAAAAUUAGAGUGUUUAAAGCAGGCUUACGCUUGAAUACAUUAGCAUGGAAUAAUGAAAUAGGACGUUUGAUUCUAUUUUGUUGGUUUCUAGGAUUGACGUAAUGAUUAAUAGGGAUAGUUGGGGGCAUUAGUAUUCAAUUGUCAGAGGUGAAAUUCUUGGAUUUAUUGAAGACUAACUACUGCGAAAGCAUUUGCCAAGGAUGUUUUCAUUAAUCAAGAACGAAAGUUAGGGGAUCGAAGACGAUCAGAUACCGUCGUAGUCUUAACCAUAAACUAUGCCGACUAGGGAUCGGAUGAUGUUAAUUUUUUAAUGACUCAUUCGGCGCCUUACGGGAAACCAAAGUGUUUGGGUUC
rnacentral:rRNA from 1 species